rnacentral:rRNA from 1 species
UAGGUGUGGGGGACAUUCCACGUUUUCCGCGCCGUAGCUAACGCAUUAAGUGCCCCGCCUGGGGAGUACGGCCGCAAGGCUAAAACUCAAAGGAAUUGACGGGGGCCCGCACAAGCGGCGGAGCAUGCGGAUUAAUUCGAUGCAACGCGAAGAACCUUACCAAGGCUUGACAUAUACCGGAUCGUUCCAGAGAUGGUUCUUCCCCUUUGGGGUCGGUAUACAGGUGGUGCAUGGUUGUCGUCAGCUCGUGUCGUGAGAUGUUGGGUUAAGUCCCGCAACGAGCGCAACCCUCGUUCCAUGUUGCCAGCACGUGAUGGUGGGGACUCAUGGGAGACUGCCGGGGUCAACUCGGAGGAAGGUGGGGAUGACGUCAAAUCAUCAUGCCCCUUAUGUCUUGGGCUUCACGCAUGCUACAAUGGCCGGUACAAAGGGUUGCGAUACUGUGAGGUGGAGCUAAUCCCAAAAAGCCGGUCUCAGUUCGGAUUGAGGUCUGCAACUCGACCUCAUGAAGUCGGAGUCGCUAGUAAUCGCAGAUCAGCA